rnacentral:rRNA from 1 species
GACGAACGCUGGCGGCGUGCUUAACACAUGCAAGUCGAACGGAAAGGCCCUGCUUUUGUGGGGUGCUCGAGUGGCGAACGGGUGAGUAACACGUGAGUAACCUGCCCUUGACUUUGGGAUAACUUCAGGAAACUGGGGCUAAUACCGGAUAGGAGCUCCUGCUGCAUGGUGGGGGUUGGAAAGUUUCGGCGGUUGGGGAUGGACUCGCGGCUUAUCAGCUUGUUGGUGGGGUAGUGGCUUACCAAGGCUUUGACGGGUAGCCGGCCUGAGAGGGAGACCGGCCCCAUUGGGACUGGGGAGCGACCCAGACUCCUACGGGCGGCAGCAGUGGGAACUUUAGCACACUGGGCGGAGGCCGGGUGCAGCGUCGCCGCGUGCGGGAUGACGGCCUUCGGGUUGUAAACCGCUUUCGCCUAUGACGAAGCGUGAGGGCCGUUACUGGGUAAAGAAGCACCGGCUAACUACGU